UACAGGGGGUGCAAACGUUGCUCGGAAUCAUUGGGCGUAAAGCGCACGUAGGCGGUCUGUUAUGUCGGAUGUGAAAGCCCUUGGCUUAACUGAGGAAGUGCAUCCGAAACUGGCAGGCUAGAGUACUAAAGAGGGUCGCGGAAUUCCCGGUGUAGCAGUGAAAUGCGUAGAGAUCGGGAGGAACACCAGUGGCGAAGGCGGCUACCUGGACCAGCACUGACACUGAGGCACGAAAGCGUGGGGAGCAAACAGG
rnacentral:rRNA from 1 species